GUAGGUGAACCUGCGGAAGGAUCAUUUCUGAACUAAGGGAGAUUGGAGAAGGAGGGAAAGUGGCUUUAUUGCUGCAAUCUCUUUUUUUACUUUCUUUCCUUAUCAAAGAGAGUGUGUGGUAUAAAUGAAAAGGAAUAAUUGAAAAUGGAAAUUGAAUGGGUUCUCUCGUUUUUUUUCCAACUUUCGUUUUCCUAAUCUACUUUUAUAAACCAAAACAAGUUACUUUUUGUUCAAAACAAAACGUCUUUGGCUUUAUUUUUUUUGAUUCAACAUGUUGGUUCACUCCAUAUUGUUUUAUUAUGAAAAAGAGAGUUGACAAAAACACAAAAAACGACAUACAACUGUCAACGGUGGAUCUCUUGGCUCGU
rnacentral:misc_RNA from 1 species